CUGCAAUGCAAUAAGUGCGGUCCAAAUAUUCAAUUGCUAGAAACAGGCCAAUUAUUAUGCGCAAAAUGUACACUGAAUUUUAAAAGUCCCAAAUGAUGACAAGUCAGUUCACAAACCAAUCCCUCUAUCAUCCUCCAUCUCAUACUCCCCAACUACACAAGAUAAGAGCCUUAGCUUGUUUCCAUUGAGAAGCAGGGCUAAGAACAGGCUGGAGCCAAUCACAUAUAUCCAAAUUUGUACUAUUUGUAGGGCUUUAUUAUUUUUUAUUUCAUAUAACACCUAUAAAUAUAAGUCAGCUUUUUCAACUAGCAUUCAAUAGAACAGAGAUGUGUUCCAAUGUUGGAAGGAAAAACUGGCCAAGUUCAAUGUAAAGGGAAUUGUACUGUUUUAGCAAUUUAAAGGAUUUUCUAGGCCAAUUUUUGACUACAUGUGGCUGACAAUGAUGACUAAGCUUCAAUUUAACACACAGCUCCUCUAUACUGUAAUACAUAAAGUGAAGUGCCUGGAAACAUAAGGUGU
rnacentral:lncRNA from 1 species